AGCCAUUCUGCCUCUGUACUUCAUGCUUGCUUAUCUCAUAUAAGCCCUGGACCACCAGAAAUCAACGCCUGAUAUUGUGAGAAUGAUCCUGUUCAGCGCCUGUCGAUGUAAAUAAAUCUGCCUCCAAAUCCUGGAUGUCAUUUCGGUGUUUCUGCUCACCAUUGCAAUACGGGGGUGCCAAAGCAACAAGACAAGGGACCCAAUUUGCCCCUGAAAGUGACUGAUGCAUGGAGAUAAAGCGGUGGCACCAACUGGCACAAUUCCUACUAAACAGGUGCUCCUUGCUAGAGUACAUAGUGCUCCUUUUGUUUAAAGGAAGGAUGGACUAUUUACGUGUACAGAGAAUUCUGAAAGGAAAACCCGAGAACGUCUACAUCCGGGUCCUGCGAGGCGGUGAUGGGCUCCCAGGCCUUAGGCUGACUGCACUCUACUCCAUCUUAUUGAAAGCCUGCUCCAAUUCUUGGAGAAGUCCACGUUCAGAGUUUUGGGAACUGUUUUGUGCAUGUGUCCAGGACCUUGUAAAUAACAGGCCAUGCCUACUUCCCCAGCCAGGCUUUGCUAUGCCCUAAUUUCUUAUUUCUGUAUGAAAAGCAGGAAAGGCUUAUCACCCGUAUGAAGUGUCCAUUGAUGCCACUAACACAAACAUAACCCAGCAGAGUUGAGAAGAGAAACUGUUGUCUGCAAGAAAAACAAAGUGACUAUAAUUUUCAAGGAAGAAUACGAAAAAGGAAGAUGUAGAUGAGCGACAGAUUGAUGGAUCAAUAAAUAAGAGGAGGGCUAGAGGACGAGGAAAGACAAGCAUAGAAGAGAAGAGCAGAAAAUCAGAGAUGUGGAGAGAAGAGGGAGGGUGCUAUGGAGACCUGCAGUAGGCUCUACUUAAGCAUAUGGCCAAAUAUUGAUGAGCUUUCCCUGAUGGCUGUAGAAGAGCAACUCAAAACAGUAGAGAAAGCUAUUGUGGAGAUUAAGAAUAAGAAUACUGUGUAUCCUUAGUGACCAGGAAAAAAUAUUUUUAAUACAGAGAACAUCCUACAGAGUCAUCAGAAAUUACAUGUGAAUCCUCGAACUAAUCCCUCUGUAAAAUCUGCUCUGAAUCUGUUCAAAUAAAUUUUAGAAAAGGAAA
rnacentral:lncRNA from 1 species